rnacentral:rRNA from 1 species
AUUGAACGCUGGCGGCAUGCCUUACACAUGCAAGUCGAACGGCAGCACGGGUGCUUGCACCUGGUGGCGAGUGGCGAACGGGUGAGUAAUACAUCGGAACGUACCUUAUCGUGGGGGAUAACGCAGCGAAAGCUGUGCUAAUACCGCAUACGCCCUGAGGGGGAAAGCGGGGGAUCGAAAGACCUCGCGCGAUUAGAGCGGCCGAUGCCUGAUUAGCUGGUUGGUGGGGUAAAAGCCCACCAAGGCGACGAUCAGUAGCUGGUCUGAGAGGAGGAUAAGCAACAGGGGGGUGGGGAGCGGGCGCAGGUCCCUAGGGGAGGAGGAGGGGGGGAAUUGUGGCAAGUGGGGGCAACCCUGACCAAGCAAUGGCGGGUGAGGGAAGAAGUCUUUGGGGUUGGAAAGCUUUUUUGUCAGGAAAAAAACGGAAGCCAAACCACAGUCGGCGAAGGAGGGUCCUUAAAAAAUAAGCACCGGCAAACUACGGGCCACCCGCGCCCGUAA